AUUAACAGCACUCCCGAAGAUGGCGGGGGUGUUUGAGGUGGAGGUUGAUGGUGUAGAACACGAUCAUGGACUCGGACACCACGAUGAACCAAACCAGGUCGACCUAUCCCAUCUGUCACCGGAGGAGAAGUGGAGGUUGGAGCAUGCCAGGAUGCAUGUAAAACACAAGGGCCAUGAGGCCAUGCACGCUGAGAUGGUGCUUAUCCUCAUUGUCACCCUGGUCAUCGCCCAGCUGGUCCUUGUGCAAUGGAAACAGAGGCACCCCAAGUCCUACAAUCUAGUGACUCUGUUCCAGAUGUGGGUGGUUCCUCUGUACUUCACCACCAAGCUUCACUGGUGGAGGUUUCUGGUCACGUGGUUCAUCUUCUCUGUGGUCACUGCAUACGUUACCUACCGUGCCACACGCAAGCCCCUGGAGUGCACCACGCCCAGGCUGGUCUACAAAUGGUUCCUCCUCCUCUACAAGAUCAGCUAUGCCACAGGGAUAGUGGGCUACACCGUCGUCAUGUUUACACUGUUUGGCAUCAACUUGAUAUUUAGAAUAAAGCCAGAGGACGCAAUGGAUUUUGGCGUGUCCUUACUGUUCUAUGGUCUGUACUAUGGCGUCCUGGGUAGGGACUUUGCCGAAAUGUGUGCAGACUUCAUGGCAUCGACAGUGGGGUACUACAGUGCGUCUGGAAUGCCCACCAAGCACCUCUCAGACAGCAUCUGCGCUGUGUGUGGCCAGCCCAUACUGGUUGACGUCAGCGAAGAGGGAAUCAUCGAGAACACAUACAGACUAUCCUGCAACCAUGUAUUCCAUGAAUUCUGCAUACGAGGAUGGUGCAUCGUGGGAAAGAAGCAGAUAUGCCCGUACUGCAAAGAGAAAGUGGACCUGAAAAGGAUGUUCAGUAACCCCUGGGAGAGGCCACAUGUCAUGUAUGGACAACUCCUGGACUGGCUCCGCUACCUUGUCGCUUGGCAACCAGUAAUCAUUGGACUUGUGCAAGGCAUCAACUACAUCCUGGGGCUGGAGUGACCUGGGAGAGUGGAGAAGGACACACAAGCCAUAUGGAGAUGGUAGAUAAUGCACUGGCCUGACUAGGAGGCCUCACCAUGGACUAUAAGAACAUCUAUUAUAAACUGUGUCUAUACAUGUACUAUUUGUAUAUAUUUAUAGGCACAUAGUAUCUGUAUUUAAGAUGUAUUAGAAUUUGACUAGUAACCUGGGUUUGGAUGUCUGUUUUUAUAGUAUUUUUGUUUAGUCAAUCACAACUUUUUAAACAAAUGCAGUGUACAUUUCAUUGCUUAGUAAAAUGGUCCUCACUUUUUUGGAGAUGCUUUUUCAAAAGUAAUUUGUCUUAACUUUUUGUUUCUACGGUAAUGAGUGGCUGACRCGGCCCAGAUACGUGAGUGGAGCGUUGUAGAGUGCCAGUCUUCGUUUUGUGUGUUAAAUCUGCACCUUUUGUUAGUGGAGGUCCUGGUUUAAUGUGGCUGCUGGGGUGAGGGUUUCUAGUCUCUCAGGAGCACUGGGCUCAAGACAGUGUGUCCUAUCCUACUACAGACUUCAUCUCUUUAAGAGGGGAACUACAAUAUGUCCCCCUCAGACGGCUGCUCGUGUCUGUGUUCAGCCCAGAUGACUCAAGGAAUAGGUACCAUAAAAGACUAUGCAAAAAGAAUAUUAUACUUCCUGUUCCGUUAAGAUGCAAUAUAGUUCUCKUCAUAUAUGAAGAAACAUACCAGACUGAUGCCAGUCAUGCCACCCUGGACUAGGAUUGGGUGUGGCCAUUGAAUUAUGACGUUCUUCUUUUAGACUGCUCUUGUGAAGAAUACAGGUAAGCAGUGAAAAUGUGUAUUUCACCACAAUAUUUCACAUUUCUUAUAUGAUUCAUAUCCAUGUGUUAAAUGAGUCGCACUUAAGUCAUAUGGUAGAGGGUAUAUUACACUUGAGAAAUGURACCUGCAUAUGUCAAAGUAACAUUUGAGGUCAAAAUGUCUAGUGACUAAUUUAAUCUUGAUUGUGUCUAACAAAAAAUACGCUAAAUAACUUGAUAGGGAAUUCCCUUGUGUUCUUGGUCAGCGUGGGUGGGUUAAGGGGAAGUAACUGUGCAUAUAUAGUAAGUAAGAGACGGUGUUACAACUAGCUUUGUUGASCAACUCGCACAGUAGUCGGACAGAAGCAAGUAUGCAGUUGACGAUUCUUCUCACAGGUAAGAGAUCCUCUAACAUUCUCACACACACGUUCACUGAUGUAUGGGAAUGUGGAUGUUUCUGCUGCAUAUGUAUUUACAUUUCUGUGCCUGUGUUACGCAAUGGCUGAGGGUGUGCUCCAUCUCUUCUACAGCCUUCAUGUGUUUUUUUGGGGUCCUGCGCUCCGAGGCCACUGCAGAUUCCACAGAGGUGCCGUCUCCCAGAAUCCUCCAGCCCCRUAGGUCCAAAAUACGAGCUGUUCCAGGAGAGMAGUUGAUUAUUGAAUGUAAAGCAGACCCAGGCCUUCCUGAUGACUUUACCCAUGUCUACUGGCUGGUCAACAGCACCUUCCCAGAGGUAGCCUUCACUGAUGGCAGAGUAUCAGAAACAGAGGAAUCAGCCUCAGAGGACGGCAGGGUGAUCCAGAGGAGUCUGGUGUUAAAGAACGUGACUGCAGAGGAUUUUAAGUCCACUUUCACCUGUGUAAUAAGUAGCCUAGCUGGGCUUGACCGAAGGACUGUCACACUGAUGCCCACAAGGCUAGUGUUCCCUCAUUACCUCACUCCCAACUCAAAACACCAGGGGAAACCGAGAAAGGAAUUUAAGAAGAAACCUMGCAAAAAGGAUCAGGGGAAAAAAACAAAACCACGCUAGCAAGAAAUUAGAUUAGAUGGAUGGUCUUAGUCYAGUACUUAACCCUUGUGUGGGUUAAUGAUACAAUUUUAAUUAUUUUUUUCAACCUGAGACUUAUUGUCCUUGGCUCAUUU